GCGUUGCUCGCGUUUGAUGGCGUCGUGAUUACACUUGCUGACUGGCGCUUGCGCAUAAAAAAUCUCGGACGUAAUUUUGCUCAAGUGAGGCUUCUGGUCUAUUUUCUAUUUUGCGGCUCUACCGAAAGUUGUGUUUUUUGCGGGUACUCCGGUCCUCCCCACAGCGAAUGGUAACGGAGUAGCUAGGAUAAGCCCCAAAUAUUGACCCUAUACUAACGUAGCUGUGCUUGCUUGCUCGAUGACAUAUCAGGCUAAUCUGUAUUUCAGCGAAUUGUCGUUAGGGUUUGUAAGGGAUAAGG